rnacentral:rRNA from 1 species
UACGGGGGGGGCAAGCGUUGUUCGGAAUUACUGGGCGUAAAGGGCUCGUAGGCGGCCAACUAAGUCAAACGUGAAAUCCCUCGGCUUAACCGGGGAACUGCGUCUGAUACUGGAUGGCUUGAGUUUGGGAGAGGGAUGCGGAAUUCCAGGUGUAGCGGUGAAAUGCGUAGAGAUCAUGAGGAAGACCAGUGGCGAAGGCGGGUCUCUGGACAGUUCCUGACACUGAGGCACGAAGGCCAGGGGAGCAAAACGGG